rfam:Aspergillus wentii DTO 134E9 unplaced genomic scaffold ASPWEscaffold_6, whole genome shotgun sequence.
UCCGGCAUGGUGUAGUGGUUAACAUCGCUCGUUUUCACCGAGCAGCCCGGGGUUCGAUUCCCCGUACCGGAG